AACGAACGCUGGCGGCAUGCCUAACACAUGCAAGUCGAACGGAACCUUCCGGUCUUGGGGGGCACGGGUGGUUAACGCGGGGGGACCCACCCGUAGGUUCCGAAUAACUCCCCUAAAGGGGUGCUAAUAACGGAGAAUGUCUUCGGACCAAAGAUUUAUCGCCUUUGGAUGGGCCCGCGUUGGAUUAGGUAGUUGGUAGGGUAAAAGCCUACUAAGGCGACGAUCCAUAGCUGGUCUGAGAGGAUGAUCAGCCACACUGGGACUGAGACACGGCCCAGACUCCUACGGGAGGCAGCAGUGGGGAAUAUUGGACAAUGGGCGAAAGCCUGAUCCAGCAAGGCCGCGUGAGUGAUGAAGGCCUUAGGGUUGUAAAGCUCUUUUACCCGGGAUGAUAAUGACAGUACCGGGAGAAUAAGCUCCGGCGAACUCCGU
rnacentral:rRNA from 1 species